rnacentral:misc_RNA from 1 species
AACGAACGCUGGCGGCAGGCCUAAUACAUGCAAGUCGAGCGCGCCCUUCGGGGUGAGCGGCGGACGGGUGAGUAACGCGUGGGAAUAUGCCCUUCUCUAAGGAAUAGCCUCUGGAAACGGAGAGUAAUACCUUAUACGCCCUUCGGGGGAAAGAUUUAUCGGAGAAGGAUUAGCCCGCGUUAGAUUAGGUAGUUGGUGGGGUAAUGGCCUACCAAGCCUACGAUCUAUAGCUGGUUUGAGAGGAUGAUCAGCCACACUGGGACUGAGACACGGCCCAGACUCCUACGGGAGGCAGCAGUAGGGAAUCUUAGACAAUGGGGGCAACCCUGAUCUAGCCAUGCCGCGUGUGUGAUGAAGGCCCUAGGGUCGUAAAGCACUUUCGCCAGAGAUGAUAAUGACAGUAUCUGGUAAAGAAACCCCGGCUAACUCCGUGCCAACAGCCGCGGUAAUACGGAGGGGGUUAGCGUUGUUCGGAAUUACUGGGCGUAAAGCGCACGUAGGCGGAUUAGUAAGUUAGAGGUGAAAUCCCAGGGCUCAACCCUGGAACUGCCUUUAAUACUGCUAGUCUUGAGUUCGAGAGAGGUAAGUGGAAUUCCGAGUGUAGAGGUGAAAUUCGUAGAUAUUCGGAGGAACACCAGUGGCGAAGGCGGCUUACUGGCUCGAUACUGACGCUGAGGUGCGAAAGUGUGGGGAGCAAACAGGAUUAGAUACCCUGGUAGUCCACACCGUAAACGAUGAAUGCCAGACGUCAGCAAGUAUACUUGUUGGUGUCACACCUAACGGAUUAAGCAUUCCGCCUGGGGAGUACGGUCGCAAGAUUAAAACUCAAAGGAAUUGACGGGGGCCCGCACAAGCGGUGGAGCAUGUGGUUUAAUUCGAAGCAACGCGCAGAACCUUACCAACCCUUGACAUCCUGUGCUACUACCAGAGAUGGUACGUUCCCUUCGGGGACGCAGUGACAGGUGCUGCAUGGCUGUCGUCAGCUUGUGUCGUGAGAUGUUCGGUUAAGUCCGGCAACGAGCGCAACCCACAUCUUUAGUUGCCAGCAGGUUAAGCUGGGCACUCUAGAGAAACUGCCCGUGAUAAGCGGGAGGAAGGUGUGGAUGACGUCAAGUCCUCAUGGCCCUUACGGGUUGGGCUAACGCUGCGCUAACCCUUCNGGGAGGCAGGCGGCCACGGUAGGAUCAGCGACUGGGGUGAAGUCGUAACAAGGUAGCCGUAGGGGAACCUGCGGCUGGAUCACCUCCUUUCUAAGGAUGAUCUUAGCAGCAAGACUUUUGUCUUACUCGUAGAUCACUUAGCAUGAUAUGUCCUUUGCAUAUCAAAACAUCAGUCCAUCUUUUGAUGGGCUUGGGCCGAGCCGUCCUCAUAUCUCUUCAGAAAUUGCAAGCCUUUGGCUUGUAUCAGCCGCCUGAUUGGACCACCACCGGCCCUUUCGGCAGACUUGUUUUGCAAGUCACCUGUCGGGCGUUGUCGAUCUUGUUACGCAAGAUCCACUGGGUCGGUAGCUCAGGUGGUUAGAGCGCACGCCUGAUAAGCGUGAGGUCGGAGGUUCAAGUCCUCCUCGACCCACCAUAUAUUACACCCUUAAAGGGGGCGUUAGCUCAGCUGGGAGAGCACCUGCUUUGCAAGCAGGGGGUCAUCGGUUCGAUCCCGAUACGCUCCACCAAGGACUUAAGUUUGAAAGUUAAGCAACUUGUGUUGUUUUGCUGUCCAACUUGGACAUUGAUCAGCCUUUGGGCUGACUUGACAUCGUAAAGAGAGAUACAAACAUCAGAAUUACUGAUGCGCCAAGUACGGUGUAUCGUGAUGUUGUUUGGCAUCGUGUAAGGGGGGUAGGAUUUAUCUUAUUCUUUUGUCGCGCUGCCUUUUAUAAGCAACAGUUCACAAAGUAAUUUUGUUCCAAGUUAAGUACAAUUAUACCUGAGUAAUUCCGCAAGGUUUUACUCAUCGUCGCUGCUCUAUCCGGGCAGUGGCGGCACGAAUGUUGCCCCCUCUUUGAACCAGCGGGGGCCCAUGGGAAUAAUUUUGUAUGACUUUUGGUUCAGAAUUUAGUCAUCUUCGGAUGAUGUUGCAGGACAUGCAAAAGGCCUGUCUUCUUCUGGAUCAAAUCAAGCGCGAAAAGGGCGUUUGGUGAAUGCCUUGGCAGUAAGAGGCGAUGAAGGACGUGAUACUCUGCGAUAAGUUAUGGGGAGCUGAGAAUAAGCUUUGAUCCAUAAAUUU